CCUACGGGGCGCAGCAGUGAGGAAUAUUGGUCAAUGGGCGCGAGCCUGAUCCAGCCAAGUAGCGUGAAGGAUGACUGCCCUACGGGUUGUAAACUUCUUUUAUAAAGGAAUAAAGUGCGGCACGUUUGCCUUUUUGUAUGUACUUUCUGAAUAAGGAUCGGCUAACUCCGUGCCAGCAGCCGCGGUACUACGGAGGAUCCGAGCGUUAUCCGGAUUUAUUGGGUUUACAGUGCGCGUAGAUGGGUUUUUAAGUCAGUUGUGAAAGUUUGCGGCUCAAACGUAAAAUUGAAAUUGAUACUGGCAGCCGUGAGUACAGUUGAGGUAGGGGGAAUUCGUGGGGUAGCGGUGAAAUGCGUAGAUAUUAGGAGGAACACCAGUGGCGAAGGCGGCUUACUGGACGGUAACUGACGUUGAGGCUCGAAAGCGUGGGGAGCAAACAGGAUUAGAUACCCGAGUAGUC
rnacentral:rRNA from 1 species